UAUCUCUGUAGAGUCUGCAUAUCAAUAAGCGGAGGAAAAGAAACUAACUAGGAUUCUCCUAGUAACGGCGAGUGAAGCGGGAAGAGCUCAAAUUUGAAAUCUUCAAGGUUUUACCUUGACGAAUUGUAGUUUAAAGAAGUGUUUUCUGUUGGAGUUUUGGUAAAAGUUCUUUGGAAUAGGACAUCAUAGAGGGUGAGAAUCCCGUAUUUGACCAUUAUUUCCAGCUGUGUGAUACACUUUCAAAGAGUCGGAUUGUUUGGGAAUGCAGUCCAAAAUGGGUGGUAAAUUUCAUCUAAAGCUAAAUAUUGGCGAGAGACCGAUAGCGAACAAGUACCGUGAGGGAAAGAUGAAAAGAACUUUGAAAAGAGAGUUAAACAGUACGUGAAAUUGUCAAAAGGGAAGCGUUUGACACCAGUGUUGUUUUCUCGAAAAUCAAUUAAAAAUGGAUGGGAUUUUGUGUUGUAUUGACUUUAUCAGCUUUCUGCACUUUUUUCUUAUCUUUUUUAAUGCACUCUUCGUUUAACAAGUCAACAUCAAUUUCUUUUGUUGUAAAAGAGUCAUUGGAAGGUGGCUUUUUCUUCGGAAAAAGUGUUUAUAGCCUUUGGCUUCUGCAAUCGGAGAGAUUGAGGUCUGCAGCGUAGAUCCUUCGGGGUUAGAUACAUUUGUGCUAAGCUAUAGUUCUUUAUAGACAACUUGUUGACUAUAAUCAAUCCUGUAACUUACUCGCUUAUGCUAUUUUACCUACGCUUAGGAUGUUGAACGCGCACAGAGUCUC
rnacentral:rRNA from 1 species